rnacentral:sRNA from 1 species
CCCUAGCCCUGAUCGCAGCGGCAUCCUUUUUUGGUGGCUGAGGCACCGAAGCUACCAAAAAAGAUACAGCGGAGAGCAGGUUCCCGG